CCACCACUUUCAUCUCUAUCUUUCUAGCUAGCUAUCGGGCCCAAUAUCUUAUCCUAUUUUACAGUGCAUGGUUGACAUGAUUCCCCUCAUUCCCCUCCAUUCAUGUCUACACCAUCUUGAUUUCUUUAAUUAUUUCACAUUUGCUUCUAAAUACACCAACUUAUCCUAACGUAAUCCUUCAAAGCUAUUCAAACACAUAAAAUUUGCAUGCAUUAUGUGAUAUUCAUGAUGCAGGAAGCGAAGUCAAACGAACCAAUGGAGCAUCGAGUUAACUAUGUCACAUCAGGUUCCUUUUAUUGCUACUAGUCACUUUAUAUGUUUCUUUAAAUUGUCUCGGCGUAUAGAAAAGAAAAUCCUCGAUUAUUACCAGUAUCUUAUAUCUAAGUAGUUAAAUCGAUUCGCAGCAGUAUUCCAAUUCUUUUGUGGGAAGGGUUUUUCUUGUUUUUUAUAAAGAGAGUUGUUUUGUCAUAUAAUCUGUGAAAUUAAUAGUUAUGAGUAAUUACCUUGGGUUGGAAUUGUUCUUCACUGUCUUCUUUCCGUAUUUCCUCCAUUUAUAUCCAUCAUCCAUGAUCUCGAGCUGCGAUCUGGUUCUAAACGUGAUGCUUUGACUCACUUCUGCCUUCUUUUGCUUAAUCCCUUUAUUUUUGCACUUUCUGUCAUAUUAACGUUGAAUCCCAGCAACAUUAAUUAACAAUAUUUACACACAUGAAAUAGCAUAGAAUAUACACCAUAUACAUUUUCUUGUUUAACGAAAAAAACAACAUAAAUCAAGAAAAAAAACACUAACAUGUUGUUGUUGGUGGUGGUGGUGAUGGAGGAGGUUGCAUCACCAAAUCCAUGACUGGCAUCGCUAGAGUUUGCUUUCUCCGAUGAUUCAGUUUCAGUGCUUAGUGACCAACACUCUUCAUGAUGAUAAUCAACAACAUCUUCCAAUAUAAGAUAAUCAGAUAUCUUGAACUCGGAGGCUGGAGAUGCUGCCAUGUUGACCACGGCAGAGUGACAGAAAUUAGGGUUUCCAAAAUAGUUUUCCAUGGUGGUGUGGUGAUAUGUUGCAGAGACCCAAGAGUCUUUGGCCUUUUACCAAAGCACACCGUCACUGGAUAUAUAUAAUAUAUAGUAAUAUAAAAUAUAAAAUAAAAAUGGGAAUAAGUAUUUAAUCUUUCUCUUUUGUUUUUUUAAUAUACUUGAUAUUUGAAGAUACUUGGAAACACCUUGGCGGAUGCUGCGAACUUGCUCAUAGAGGGAGGAGUCAAGAUAAGACAGAUGAAGAUGAUGUCAGGGUGAUGACGUAGGAGCUAGCAAGUAGGGGUUCCCUACCACUUUAAUCUUGCAGAAUAGGUAUAAAUGGGACCGUGAAAAUAACACAAUGAUACCAUGUUAUUGCUUUUUAAAGACGAUAGAUGGAUAUGCAUAGGUAGUGUGGUGGCGUUAUG
rnacentral:lncRNA from 1 species